rnacentral:rRNA from 1 species
UACGAAGGGGGCGAGCGUUGUUCGGAUUUACUGGGCGUAAAGGGCGCGCAGGCGGCUCAUUUUGUCAGGCGUGAAAGCCCCGGGCUUAACCUGGGAGGUGCGUUUGAUACGGAUGGGCUAGAGUUCGGGAGAGGAGAGUGGAAUUCCCAGUGUAGAGGUGAAAUUCGUAGAUAUUGGGAAGAACACCGGUGGCGAAGGCGGCUCUCUGGACCGAGACUGACGCUGAGGCGCGAAAGCUGGGGGAGCAAACAGG